GAGUUUGAUCGUGGCUCAGAACGAACGCUGGCGGCAUGCCUAACACAUGCAAGUCGAACGAGACCUUCGGGUCUAGUGGCGCACGGGUGCGUAACGCGUGGGAAUCUGCCCUUGGGUUCGGAAUAACAGUUAGAAAUGACUGCUAAUACCGGAUGAUGACUUCGGUCCAAAGAUUUAUCGCCCAGGGAUGAGCCCGCGUCGGAUUAGCUAGUUGGUGAGGUAAAGGCUCACCAAGGCGACGAUCCGUAGCUGGUCUGAGAGGAUGAUCAGCCACACUGGGACUGAGACACGGCCCAGACUCCUACGGGAGGCAGCAGUGGGGAAUAUUGGACAAUGGGCGAAAGCCUGAUCCAGCAAUGCCGCGUGAGUGAUGAAGGCCUUCGGUUGUAA
rnacentral:rRNA from 1 species